CAGGAGGGUUCAGCACGAGUACCUCGAGGGGAAGUUAAGGGCCCUCAGGGAGAAGGGGAGAAAAGAAAAAUGAAUUAAUAUGCAGAGAAGCAUCACAGUCAUACAGCUGCUUCCAAAACCACAUACCACCUUAAAUCUGUGAAAUAUCUAUGUUGUAUGUACUGUAAGGUACAUGAGUCUUCAAAGUCUUUAUCUUAUACGCCCUUGCAGCUUCCCCGUCCCAGGCAGCGUGCUGGUAGAGUCCUGGUGCCGGUUAGGGAGGCAGACCCCGCCCACAGGCUGGACUCUACUAAGACUGGUAUCCAAGGUCCAGUUAUACAGGUAAGAGUUUGCAGUUAGUCCUAUAUAAGCUCUGCCUCUCUACUAGAUUCUAAUGAUUAAAGAUCUACAGUUCAGGAGAAAACCUGUUCAUUUCUUCCCCUGUUUCUUCCAGGCUGUGUAUGGCUUGGAUCACGUGGAGGACCAUGGAGGACAGUGCCAAGAAGCUCCAGCUCCAGACCUCACCACCACCUCUCAUCCGGAGCCAUCCAGGCAGGGAGACACUGCACUGUCACCCACUAUUAACACACAGGGAAGAACCCUUAAACGCCUCACCACCAACUUUAGGACGUCCACUGUGUCUCGUUGCAGGUCUCCUCGCCGAGUCCUGGUGCGUGUUCAAGAGGCAGAACCUUGUCACAGGCUGGAGCUUCAGGACACAACGCCUGAACUGGAGCCAGUGCCAGCUGCACAGGACAAGGAUGACCUGGAGGUCCUGGAGGGCUGUGAAGAGCAACGAGAGACAGCUCCAAAGAGAAAGGUCAGAUUUCAGUGUUACUUAAAGCAAAAGGAUCAGUAUAGAAUCUUAUAAAUCUGCUGUUUUGUUGUGCUGUAUUGCUUAUGCACGUAUAUGCAAUGUCUGUAUGUCGAUGUUUUUUUACACCAUUUGUUACUUAAUUCUGUUUUCUUUUAUUUCUUUCCAUGCAGAGAGGAUGGCUACAGCACCUGCUCAGCUGCUU
rnacentral:lncRNA from 1 species